GAAAUGCUAUAAGUAAUGUGAAUUGCAGAAUUCAGUGAAUCAUCGAAUCUUUGAACGCACAUUGCGCCCUUUGGUAUUCCAAAGGGCAUGCCUGUUCGAGCGUCAUUUGUACCCUCAAGCUUUGCUUGGUGUUGGGCGUCUUGUCUCCAGUUCGCUGGAGACUCGCCUUAAAGUCAUUGGCAGCCGGCAUACUGGUUUCGGAGCGCAGCACAAGUCGCGCUUUCAUCCAGCCAAGGUCAGCGACCAGUAAGACUUUUUUUCAAAGUUUGACAUCGGUUCAGGUAGGGAUAACCGCUGAACUUAA
rnacentral:misc_RNA from 1 species